rnacentral:rRNA from 1 species
ACUACAAGGAUCCCUAGUACGGCGAGUGAACGGGAAGACUCAAAUUUAAAAUCUGGCAGUCUACGAUUGUCCGAAUUGUAAUCUCGAGAAGUGUUUUCCGCGUUGGCCUGUGCACAAGUCCCUUGGAACAGGGCGUCAUAGAGGGUGAGAAUCCCGUCCUUGGCACAGAUACCCAAUGCUUUGUGAUACACUCUCAAUGAGUCGAGUUGUUUGGGAAUGCAGCUCAAAAUGGGAGGUAAAUUCCUUCUAAAGCUAAAUACUGGCGAGAGACCGAUAGCGAACAAGUACCGUGAGGGAAAGAUGAAAAGCACUUUGGAAAGAGAGUCAAACAGUACGUGAAAUUGUUGAAAGGGAAACGAUUGAAGUCAGUCGUGCCUGCCUAAAUUCAGCCUUCUGGUGUAUUUCUAGGUCGGCAGGUCACAUCAGUUUGGGAGGGUUAACAAGGGGAUUAGAAUGUUGGCAACCUCGGUUGUGUUAUACCUAUUUCCUAUUGAUCUUGCUGGACUUGAAGGAACGCCAUGCGCCCGCAAGGGUUAGUCUUCCGGACACUUUCCCACUUUAGAUGCUGGCAUAAUGGCUUUA